rnacentral:rRNA from 1 species
CAUACCUUUUAGAGGGGGAGAACUUUUGGAAACAAAAGAUAAUACCGCAUGUUAAUAUUAUUCUCGCAUGAGAAAAUAUUCAAAGAUCCGUUUGGAUCACUAAAAGAUGGGGAUGCGGCGUAUUAGUUAGUAGGAGAGGUAAUGGCUCACCUAGACGAUGAUACGUAGCCGAACUGAGAGGUUGAUCGGCCACAUUGGGACUGAGAUACGGCCCAGACUCAUACGGGAGGCAGCAGUAGGGAAUUUUUCACAAUGGACGAAAGUCUGAUGAAGCAAUGCCGCGUGAGUGAUGACGGCCUUC